GACGAACGCUGGCGGCGUGCUUAACACAUGCAAGUCGAACGGAAAGGCCCUGCUUUUGUGGGGUGCUCGAGUGGCGAACGGGUGAGUAACCCGUGAGUAACCUGCCCUUGACUUUGGGAUAACUUCAGGAAACUGGGGCUAAUACCGGAUAGGAGCUCCUGCUGCAUGGUGGGGGUUGGAAAGUUUCGGCGGUUGGGGAUGGACUCGCGGCUUAUCGGCUUGUUGGUGGGGGAGUGGAUUACCAAGGAUUUGACGGGUAGCCGGCCUGUGAGGGUGACCGGCCACAUUGGGACUGAGGGACGGCCCAGACUCCUACGGGAGGCAGCGGUGGGGAAUAUUGCACAAUGGGCGGAAGCCUGAUGCAGCGACGCCGCGUGCGGGAUGACGGCCUUCGGGUUGUAAACCGCUUUCGCCUGUGACGAAGCGUGAGUGACGGUAAUGGGUAAAGAAGCACCGGCUAACUACGUG
rnacentral:rRNA from 1 species